UACGUAGGGGGCAAGCGUUGUCCGGAAUCAUUGGGCGUAAAGCGCGUGUAGGCGGUCCGGUAAGUCCGCUGUGAAAGUCGGGGGCUCAACCCUCGGAUGCCGGUGGAUACUGUCGGGCUUGAGUACGGAAGAGGCGAGUGGAAUUCCUGGUGUAGCGGUGAAAUGCGCAGAUAUCAGGAGGAACACCAAUUGCGAAGGCAGCUCGCUGGGACGUGACUGACGCUGAGACGCGAAAGCGUGGGGAGCAAACAGG
rnacentral:rRNA from 1 species